rnacentral:rRNA from 1 species
GGGAAUCUUGGACAAUGGGGGCAACCCUGAUCCAGCGAUGCCGCGUGAGCGAAGAAGGCCUUAGGGUUGUAAAGCUCUUUCGCCCGCGACGAUGAUGACGGUAGCGGGAGAAGAAGCCCCGGCUAACUCCGUGCCAGCAGCCGCGGUAAUACGGAGGGGGCUAGCGUUGUCCGGAAUUACUGGGCGUAAAGCGCGCGUAGGCGGUCCACCAAGUCGGGGGUGAAAGCCCGGGGCUCAACCCCGGAAUGUCCUCCGAGACUGUUGGACUGGAGUUCGGGAGAGNAGAGCGGAAUUCCCAGUGUAGAGGUGAAAUUCGUAGAUAUUGGGAAGAACACCGGUGGCGAAGGCGGCUCUCUGGCCCGCAACUGACGCUGAGGCGCGAAAGCGUGGGGAGCAAACA